GGAGCUGAAGGGGAACUGAACCUACAGGGGGCGGCGAUAGCAGCCUGGCCCCUAGGUCUCCUGGCAAUGAGCUUUGCCGCCGGGAGAAACAGUGCCCAAGGCGCUGUGCCUCUCGGCCGGGAACUAGGACACUGACGCAGCUUUGGGCUUUAGUCUGGCAGUCCCAGAGAAGCAAGAGCUUGGGGAGAGGUGCUGCAGCUGGAGCCACAGGCCCAGCUAGGAGAAAUGCCAUGGCUCGGUAGGAAACUGGAACCAGUAACAGGGCACUCUGGUGGUACUGAGAGCCGGAUCCCGCACAGCGGUCGGGUGCAAAGGCCAGCGCGAUACUGCAUAAAUCGGCAGGAGGAGAUUUGUGCAGACCACAGGGAUGCCCGCCCGCAGAGCCAGCUCCGGAUUUCUUAGGUUCAGUCCCCCUUCAGCUCCGUUUAUUUCGAUUUGUUAUUCGGCUCCGUUUUCUCGUCGUGUCUAAUCGUUUCGGUUUUAUGUACGAUCUAAAUUUCUGUCGUAUUGUUUUCGCCUACAGAGUUCCUGGAGUUUGCUAUCAUUGCGUUUUAGCCUCUCUGGCUUGUCUCCGCCCUCCGCCUGGAAGGUCAUAAAUACUGGGGAUGGCGAUGGUGCGGAGGAUCGGCCUCAUCUCUCCAUCAACGCAGAGGCUUCUGUCCUGCUUCUCUGAGGCUCACGCGAUGGAGCAGCGUUUUCUGGGCCAUGUGAAGCAGGCUUGGGAUUCCGUGGAGGUGGCGCCAGAGCGGCGGCCUCCUCCUGCGCUGAGUUUAGAAGCUGGUGGUCCUUGGCCUCUCCCUUGCUACCCUGUCCUAGGAGUUCUCGGUUGACAACUGCGACUUUGACUGGGAGCGGCUCUCCAGUCCUGUUGGCGGGGCGCCCGGUCCACCUGCAAAACGGAUUCCGCGGGAGUCCAGAGCUCCUGGGAACCAACCAAAGUCUGGAAGCUGCGACGCAAGAAACUGGAGGCUCGGGCAGAUGGGGAGGAGCCUGCGGAAGAGCCCAACGCACUCACGGCUGCAGCAGAUUUCACUGCGAAGGACGCAGCCCCCCACCCUCCUACCCCGGUGACCAGCCCUGGACACCAAGACCUCUGCUGACCAGUGUCUCUCCGAGUGCCCCCACCUGUCUCCUCCAACUGGUGGAACCCGCACCUGGUUUUCUCAGGCCUCCUGGCGUGGAUUCCCUGGUGUUCUCAACGCCCUGGGGGUGCUGCCCAUCCUUCUCUGACAGCGAGGCGGCCUUAGAUCAGAGAAGGAGCCUCUCUGAUCUUACUCUGUGAAAAGACUCUGUUCACAAAAAGGCUUCACGUAGGAAAUUAAAACGCACUGAGAUUUGCCU
rnacentral:lncRNA from 1 species